rnacentral:lncRNA from 1 species
AUGUCAUGCUCAAGUCUUAUGCUGAAAAGCUUAAGACUCACAAUCUUCCAUGCAAGUAUGCCUGUGCCAAGCCUGGUUCGUCUCCCUAGAAGUGGAGUCGCCAACUCUCCUCGUUUGUUGAGAUGUCUGCAUCGGUUGAAGGAUGAAGAUCGAAGUAUGCAACCUGUUUAUUUACUUGGCAAACGUGUUAUACCUAACGAUGUGCUAGAGGCUAAGAGUAGAAUUGGUCCAACAUCUUUGACUCCUCUCGACACGAGGAGGGUUGCACUCAGGCAGGCCAAAGGAUUGUUUGCUCAAGUGAAAGGUUCACUAAAGUUGGAGAAGAAGAAUGAUUUCUUUACUGAUCUACUUUUAAUGGAGCAAAAGCAUCUAGAAGCAUGUCACAAGAGCGUCCAGAAGGAGAAAAAUCAAAGAUUGCCAGUUUGUAGAGGAUAA